rnacentral:rRNA from 1 species
UACGUAGGGGGCAAGCGUUGUCCGGAAUCAUUGGGCGUAAAGAGCGUGUAGGCGGCCAGAAAAGUCCGCUGUGAAAACUCGAGGCUCAACUUCGAGCUGUCGGUGGAAACUUUCUGGCUAGAGUCCGGAAGAGGAGAAUGGAAUUCCUGGUGUAGCGGUGAAAUGCGCAGAUAUCAGGAGGAACACCAAUAGCGAAGGCAGCUCGCUGGGACGGUACUGACACUGAGGCGCGAAAGCGUGGGGAGCGAACAGG